rnacentral:lncRNA from 1 species
AUUGUGACUAGCAACCUUCACUACUUGUGAAUAUAAGUUCAUAACGAUUAGGUGAAACUCCCUUAUAUUCUAGCGUCAAAUUCAUGCAUGAAAAUUAAGCGUGCACUCUCAACCAACAUACACAAAUCAGUUUUUAUACGAACGGAUAAGUAAAUUGAAUUCACAACUGGAUGUAAUCAAAUCAUAUUGCAAGCAUGAACAUAGUUUCAAAUCACCCCCUAACUAAGAGGGGUUUAGUUCCUCAUACUUACAAAGCAAAGAUGCAUAACUUUAGACAUUAAAAACAAAGAUAGAAAACACCUAGAAACACUCCAACACUCCCAAGGCUUGGGCAUAGGCACGGCACAAGAUGUUCCUUCUCUUUCCUUCCUUGCAAGCAGCGGCACUAGAGGUUUUGGACGGUUUUGGGUGGUUUUUAUGGUGUAGAAUGGAUGGGGAAUGGUAUGGAAAGGUUUAGGAUUGAUGGGUGGUGUGGCUAGGGGUGGUUUUUGGCUGAAAUUAGAGAGAAUGGUGGUGGGAAGUUUCGGCCAAAGCAAGGAGAAAAUCUGUUAUGUUGAUGAAUAUGGGAGGUGGUAUUUAUAGGCUUGAGAGAGGACCACUCCAUUUCCUUUGCAUGUGCAGCUUGUGUGGGUGUGUGUUGUCAUGUUUCCCCUUUACAUUUACACACACAUGCUUCAUCAUUUCAACCACCAAACACACACAUUUUCUGCCAUGUUUUCCUUUACAUUUACACACACAUGCUUCAUCAUUUCAACAACAAAACACACACAAUUCCUACCCAUGUGUGUGUGUUUCCUUUGCCCAUGUGUGUGUGUUUUUCCUUUGCAUUUGCAGACACAUGUUCUUCAUUAUUUCAGCCAACAAUCCACCCAUUUUCUGCCCAUGUGUGUGUGUUUCCUUUGCCCAUGUGUUGCCUUUCUCUUUUUAUUAGCCAAAUCUGCUUAGCCCUUUUCUGACCUUUUAGUGUUACAAUGCCCAUAACUUCUUCUAGAAAAAUGAGAUUAACAAUCCGUAAAUUGCUCCAGAAAAUAGACAUCCGUAGCUUUCCACGCAUAUAAGGUUCAUUCUCUCAUUCAUUCUGAACUGUUUGUAACAUGCUUCCAAAGUCAGAUAAUCUGCACAGGCAGUUUUGACGAAUUUGUUACUUAAUAAUUCACUUGUGCUACUUUUCUUUUCUUUGCUUGAUAAAUCACACAAAACACAAAAACAUAGUAAAUAGCUCAAAAAUAUAAGGAACUAACUGAGAAAAGACAAGUGAAUUUUAUGUAAAUAUAUAUAAAUAUGAGCUUAUCACCUACCCCCACACUUAGCUUUUGCAAGUCCUCGAGCAAAAUAAAGAAAACAAAACACAACCUAAACCUUCCAACGUUUGCCUUAGGGAUUUCCAACGCACAUGACAUGUUAAAAAUCAUUAUCCCCACAAAUUUGAGUCAUCUUCACACUUAAGCACAUACUUAAUCAUAGUCACCACGUACUAGUUCACAUUUAACCAAUUAAAAUAUGAUUUUGAAUGUAGUAACCUUAGAGAAUUUUCUCAAGUCCUUACAAGAUAUUCACUCAAUUUUCACUCAGAUUUUCUAACUACACACCCUAUACUAGUUAUAUGUGAGAAGAUUGAUGUAAACAUGAAAACGAACGCUCACAUAUAUGUAUUACAAAGAAAGCGAUUUCUGGAGUUAUUAAGCAUGUUUAGAUAUGAUCUCAUGAAUGGAAUGCUACUACUUAGAUGCGAGAACCAGUGACACCAUAUGCUCAUACCAAAUUCAAACUCCACAAAUUGAAACACAUAACACUCAAGAUUGAAGUCAAAGGUUGUAACGGGGCUUGGGGUGUUGGCUAACAAAUGAAGGUAAGGGAAAACAAACGUUCUUAAAGCAAUAGCAAAUAAAGUAAUGAACUUGAAACUUAGAAUUCACUUAGAUUGCAGAAAUCAACUUUUAGACAUAAGGGAAAGAUUUAAACAACUCUUAGGGUCAAAUUCAACUUUUUUUUUUUUUUUUUCUUUGGAUGAAUUUUUCUUUUCUUUUCUUUCCACCCGUGCCUAUGGCACACUACUUACAUGAGAAACACUUCCCCCAUACUUAUUUUCUGCCAUACAUAAUCAAAAGGAAUUCAAUUUGAAUCAUGCUUUACUAUGCUUUCAGAACAAGGGUAUGAAUGUCCUAAUCUAGGCUAGGUGGAGAUGAUGUGAUUAACAAAGAAAAACGGGCUAAACAAGGUUCAACGGGGUUAACUUAAACAUAUAAUGAAGUAGGAUACACGGCAAUUUGGCUUUGGAGGUGGUAACUACACAACUUCAUCUUGAAUAUGUGUUAUGCAAAUCAAUAUCAUGCUUUGAAUGAAAUGGGCAUGAGUUCUAGCAUUUGGAACUAAAUGAUGAAACGCCUUCUAAGUAGUAACCAAGCAAAGAAUAAUGAGAUCAUGCAACGACUUAGAAAACAAUAAUGCACAGAUUAUCAACUCUCCAAAUAACGUUUAGGCUCAAGUCUCACAAGGUUGUAGCGUUUGUUUGAGUUCCUUCCUUCAAGCAUGUUACAAAAACUAAUUUUUCCUUUAUGAUUGCAUGUGAAUUCAUAAAUUAUAACCACAACCAAGCAUACACCAAAGAGUAAAUCAAAUGUUCAUCCAUGUUUAUAACUCUCUUUAACAGUCAUGUAAUUAAAAACCAAAUCCUCAUCAUUGUGUUGGAAGGUACCCUAAGACACAAAUAAACAUACAAAAACAACUCUUUUUAGGUUUUUCAAAACAAUUUUUCAAAUUUUUAUGAGAUUUUUCGGAUUUUUAUAUCAAAACAAACUAAAACACUUCAAAACAGCUUAAAAACACUUAAAAGAGCAAGAAACAACAUUAGAAGUAAUGGGUGAUAAACUCCUACAACUUUCAUGCAAAACAAUGGUUACCCCCCCACACUUGAAUCAAACAUUGUCCUCAAUGUUUCAAGUAUAAACUCACACAAAAACAAGCAAAUAAACAAAUAACGAAUAAACAUGACAAGUAUAGCAAGGUAAAAACAAGAAAGAGUAGAGUUUAGGAACGCAAAUCUGGUUAUGGAGGUAGAUGAUCUUGUUGCCUUUCCACAGCUUUGAUCUUGAACUGGAUUGGAAUUGUACGGUGAAACUUUGCUCUUUGGCGAUGUUGUUGAAGCUUCUUGAGUUCUUCAACUCAGACUCCUUCUGCUCUCGAGUUGAUUGUGCAGGCUCAAUUCCUUAUUUGUUCUCCAAGCAGAUGUGGCAGCUUUUCUAGUUCUUCAACUCAGACUCCUUAUGCUGGGUUGAUUGUGCAAGCUGCAUUCUUCUCUGCUUGUUUCUUCUGCACGUUGUCUCCACAUGCUGCUAGUAUCAUUUUCGCUUGCCUUAUCUGUUCUUCAGGUAGAUGUGGCAGCUUCUUUGGAAGUACAUCAGCAGUGGAAGACGAGUACUCGAGAUCAAUUUCUCAAUGUCCUGCAGGUUAGAACAAAGACAAGGAAAAGGACAUGGAGAAUGCAUGAUAUGAGAUACUCUUGCUUUCAACCUUCAUGAUAUGAAAUACUUUUGCUUUGGAUAGGUUGUUUGCAGAGGUACCCCAAGGAAUAAGGAACACUGAGUGACUCGAGAGGGUUUGUUGGAAAGGCAUUCUCGGAGAUGAAGGAAGGUUAUGUAUGUCUGCCUUGCCAUGGAGGGUAAAGGUCGAAAUUUAUAGGAAAUAAUAACUGGUACUGUCCUUUCACUCCUGUCGGCAACCGUUUGAUGAUUGAACAGUAAACUUCACGUGUUUUCUACUUCAACAGAAAUCGUCGACAGAUUGCCCGUGAUUUCCUCAAAGCUGACGAGGCUGAGAAAGACAGAUGGUUGGAAUCGGCGCUUCGACAAACUGCCCGUGAUUUCUGCAAAGCUUUCUCUGCAUGUGACAAGUGCUGACGAGGCUGAGAGAGACAGAUGGUUGGAAUCGGCGCUUCGACAAACUGCCCAUGAUUUUCGCAAAGCUGAGUUUGCGUGUGACGGGUGCUGACGAGGAUGAGAAAGCUGACACUCUUCGAUAACUGGAAUCGGUGGUUUGUGAGCAAGCCCAACUUUUGAGAAAGCUGGCGCUCUUCGAUAUCUGGAAUCGGUGGUUUGUGAGCAAGCCCAACUUUUGAGAAAGCUGGCACUCUUCAAUUUUUGAAUUGGCUUCUUCGAUUUCUGAGCUCGCCUCUUCAAUCUCUGAAAUCCCAUCGCGUGCUGAUUUUUAUAGAGGUAUGCUGGACGUUCAAAGCACACUUGAAUUUCUGCCUGUAAGAACUCCCGUUUUGCACUUCUACGAUCUUAACUUGUCCGAUCUCCUCUUUCUUUAACACCUCUGAAAAUGUCUGGCCCUUCCGACCGUCGUUUUGACUUGAACCUUGGUGAAGAGGUAGCCCCGCCUUCUCCAGACAACAUAUGGCGCCCAUCCUUCAUAUCCCCUACUGGUCCCCUUACCGUUGGGGAUUCGGUGAUGAAGAAUGAUAUGACAGCUGCGGUGGUGGCCAGGAACCUUGUCACUCCCAAAGAUAACGGACUACUUGUCAAACGGUCUGAUGAGUUGGCUGUUAAGGAAUCUCUGGCUCUCAGUGUGCAGUGCGCAGGUUCCGUGUCCAAUAUGGCCCAACGCCUAUUUGCCCGAACCCGUCAAGUUGAAUCAUUGGCGGCUGAAGUGAUGAGUCUCAAGCAGGAGAUUAGAGGGCUUAAGCAUGAAAAUAAACAAUUGCACAAACUCGCACACAACUAUGCCACAAACAUGAAGAGGAAAAUUGACCAGAUGCAGGAAUCUGAUGGUCAGAUCUUACUUGAUCAUCAGAGGUUUGUGGGCUUGUUCCAACAGCAUUUGCCUUCGUCUUCUAGGGCUGUAUCGCGUACUGAAGCUCCAAAUGAUCAACCUCCGCUGCCUCCUCCUUCUGGGGCUCCGCCGACUGCUGAGGCUCCGCCGACUACUGAGACUUCUUCUAAGCAGCCUUUGUGAAGGCUCCCUCUUGUAAUUUUUUGCUUAAUGUUCCUUUUUUUUUUUUUUUUAUGAAAAUGAAUGUAAGAAUAUCUUGUAUAUCUAUCAAUGUUUCAAAAAUAAAUCCACACCCAAAAAUAAUUAAAUAAACAACAAAAAAAAAUGACAAUCAUGGCAAAAUAGAAAUGCAGAAAAGGGAAGGUUUUUAGAAACGCAAAACUGAUUGUAAAGCGAUUCAUAGAUCUUCCUUUUUUGAAUACAUGGGUUGCCUCCCAAGAAGCGCUUGCUUUAACGUCGUGCAGCCGGACGAAAAGCUCAAUUACUCCCCAAUGGAGUCCACGGCAUGCUCCUUGAAAUAUUCAUACUUUGGCUCUAUGAAAGGAAGGGAGUAGUAAUCCCUCAUGAUUGGGGCGUUUUGCUUCCAAAAAUCAAUGUACACUUCCCCACUACCUUGCAUUUGAUUAGGUACCUGCACCAAAGAAGGUAACAACCUAUUAAUUGAAAUUGGAAUCGAAAUUGGACUAGGUGGCUUACCAAUGUGCUGUGAUGGAGUGGCAGCAGUGUGAACAUUCUUUCCCAUGGUGCUUUCGGCCAAUUUGAGCAUUUUGAGGGCAGUGGCCGUAUAGUCCUUGUGCUCCACUCCAAUUCCCUCGUCUUGCAUGGUUCCUGAUGCAUCCUUUGUGCUUGGUGCUGAACGGUCCGGACCUAUCUUUUUUAUUUUAUCAAUGGCACAACAAGAAUGAACAACAUUAGUAGUCUCAAUGGAUUCAGAAAUUUUAAAACUAAUCAUGUCACCACCAAAUGCCAUAGUUACUAAUCCUUUGGCCAUAUCAAUCUUGGUUUGAGCCGUUUUCAUGAACGGUCGUCCAAGUAAGAGUGGUGAUGGUGGAGAGUGGGUUGAAUCCUCCAUAUCAAGCACGUAGAAAUCCGCCGAAAAGAUUAAGUGAUCAACCUGCACAAGAACAUCUUCCAAAACUCCCUUUGGAUAGGCGUUAGAUCUAUCGGCCAAUUGUAUGAUUACACCAUCAUUUUUCAACUUGCCUAAGUUCAUAGAUGCAUAAAUUGAAUAGGCAUAACAUUUAUUGAAGCACCUAAAUCUAACAUGGCAGAUUCAAAACGAGUGUUACCAAUGACACAAGGAAUUGUAAAACUACCCGGAUCUUUACAUUUGGGGGGUAGUUUUCGUUGCAAGAUGGCAGAGACAUUCUCACUUACAUGUACCACUUCUUUCUCCCGAAAACGCUUCUUUGUUGUACAAAGCUUUUUCAAAAACUUGGCAUACUUCGGGAUUUGCUUGAUUGCAUCCAAAAGAGGUAUCUUGACUUGAACUUUCCUAAAUGUCUCUAGAACAUCUUUUUCCUCCUCUUCGUUUUUGGAUUGCAAAAAUCUGCUAGGAAAUGGUACAUUGGGUGGAAUAACAUUAGUAUAAACCGAAUUGGACACAUUAUUGCCUUUGUUGAACAAAUUGGAUUGUGGUUGUGCCAUGGGAACCGGCGGCAAAGGUGUUUCCACCCUUGCCGUGGGUUGGUUUGAUUCUUCCUCCUCAAUUUGAAGUUUCUCAUCCUCUUUGUGACCUGUUUUUUAUGAAGAACCUGCCCCAACCUCCUUGCCACUUCUUAGGGUGAUCGCGUUGGCUGUUUCAAACCCUCCCUUUGGAUUUUGAAUGGUUGAACUAGGGAGUUGGCCUGGGUCUCGAAAUUUGCUCACAAAGUCUGCAAUCUGCCCAAUUUGUUUCUCCAAUUGAUCCACCCUUUUGUCUUGGUUUUGCAUUGCUUUGGCUUGAUUUUCUUGCCCCUGAGACAAGUUAGUUAGUAACUUAAGGAGUGUAUCAUUUUCUAGAGAUGUACUUGAAGCAUUUGGGGCAAAUUGUUGUGGAACAUGUGGGGGUGCGUAUGGCUUGGUGAAAAACCCCGGGGGUUGUUGCCUAAAGCCUCCUUGUUGUUGGGGUUGUUGGGCCUCCCUGGGUAAUCAUUGUUGUUGGGGUUGUUGGGCUUCCCUCCACUUGAAGUUUGGAUGGUCUCUCCAACCUGGAUUAUAUGUGUUUGAAUAUGAAUCGUUCCUCGGUUGGUUUUGUGAUGUGAGAAUUACUUGACACACAAAUUAAACCCUCUUUUUAUCAAAUGUAGUAAAGUAUGUAAGUAGGGUAUCGUUCUAGGCCGGGGAUUAGGAGGGAUUGCUAAUCUAUUCUAAAUUAAUUCAAAAAUAUUAAACAAGACUCAAGGACAUAAACUAGGCUAAAAACUCUAAUAACUCGAAACACACUUAGAAUGACUCAACAUAAUGAAAACAAUCAAUUUAGACACUAGGAACUGAAAUGGACGGAAAUUGAAUUAAAAGACUAACAACAAUGAAAACUAACUAAAUAAUAUAAUUUAAUAAUGGGGGGUGUUUGGUUUUGACGAGAAGUAAAUUAAACUUAAAUAAAUUAUUACAGAAUUGACAAAAGCAUAAAAUUAAGGUGAAAGGAUAGGUGACGGACUAGCUAGAGGGUUCUUCUCCACACAUGACACAUAUGCAACCUAAAUUGAUUUUCAGUUGUUCUUUCAAUAAAUUGUAAAUCUCAACGCCCCAAAUUAACCGUGAAUUGCACUAAUUAACCCUUCAAUUUUUUCCACAAGUUAUUGGGUUGGAUGAUUGCAAAUACGACAACCCAAAACAUUUCCUACAAGUUCCCUACAUGAAAAGCAUAAUAGAGAUACAAGCAAGAAUCAUUAAGUUUAUGAAAAACAUAAAGCAUUGACGAGGCACUUCGUUAACUAUGAAUUUGCAUGAAACUCUAUGCCAAGAAUUUACUUAACGUGAUUGUGACUAGCAACCUUCACUACUUGUGAAUAUAAGUUCAUAAUGAUUAGGUGAAACUCACUUAUAUUCUAGCAUCAAAUUCAUGCAUGUAAAUUAAGUAUGCAUCCUUAAUCGACAUACAAAAAUAAGUUAUCAAUCAAGCAAUUAAGCAAAUUAAAUCACAACUCAGAAAUCACAACUGAAGGUAAUCAAUUCAUAUUACAAAUAUAUUCAUGGCUUUGAAUUAACCUCUAGCCAAAAUAAAUUUAGUUACACAUUAUUAUCAAAUUAAACCAAAAGUAAAACAUAAGUUGGAAAGAUUUAACCGAAAGAGGAGAGUGCUCUGUCCGUGCCUUUUCUUGAUCUCUCCGCAUGUCCUCACUUCCCCCUGCUGUCCUCACCUUCGGUUUCUGCUUUCCUCGCUGCCCAAGGCAGCCAAGCCUUUUAUUCCUCCUGCCCCCUUUGUCCUCUGCCCGUCUUUCCCCUCUCCCUCUAUUAUUUUUCUGUUCCGCGCCUCUUGGCUGUCCCUGUGCUUCCGCUGCCCAAGCAGCCUUCUCCUUCUUUUUUUUUUUUUUUUCUUUCCGUUCUGACUCUCUUUCACGCUGCCAAAGGCAGCCUUUCUCCUCUCCUCUCUGACCUCGCUGCCAAAGGGCAGCGUUCUCCUUCUUUUUAUUUUUUUUUCUUUCCGUUCUGACUCUCUUUCACGCUGCCAAAGGCAGCCUUUCUCCUCUCCUCUCUGACCUCGCUGCCAAAGGGCAGCGUUCUCCCCCUGCCUUCUGCGCUCAGUUUUCUCAUAUAUGCCCGCUGCCCACCUACCACGCUGCACUCAGCAGCUUUCAUUUAUUCUUUUCUUCGUGCUCCACUCAUUCUUUUGUUUUCUUUUGUUCCACCCAGGCAGCCAAGUGCUGCUUUUCCUCUUUUAUUUUAUUCUUCUUUUUGGUAGCCUUGCUGCUUCUUUUCUUUGUGUGUUACUCACCAUUCCACCUGAAACAUCUUUAAGUUUAAUAAAAACCCCAGUGCAAACUCUGAUUCCAACCUGACAAAAUUUAGUGAGUAAAUAACAAGUUUGUGCCAUUUUUAUUUUCUUUGCAUAACAAAUCCUAUAAACACAAAAAUAACGUAAAUAGCUCAAAAAUAUAAGGAACUAACUAAGAAAAGACGAGUGAAUUUGAAGUAAAAAUAUAUAUAAAUAUGAUCCGAUCAAAUACCCCCAUACUUAGCUUUUGCUAGUCCUCGAGCAAAACAAAGAAAACAUGAAAAAGUACUAACAUGAAAAACAUUAGUUUCCCCCUUAUGUGACCCUCAUAGAAUUUCAUUCGAGAAAACAAAUCAUCAAGAACCAUAGCUAGCACCAAACAAACUAAUCCAAAUUCAUCUUCCUUAUUCAAAUAUUAGCAGUAAUCUUUGAAUCAUCCUUGAAGUGUAGUGUGUGAGAUAGCCAUGCUAAUG